GCGUUAUCCGGAGUUUACUGGGCGUAAAGGGUGCGUAGGUGGUCUUUCAAGUCGGUGGUUAAAGGCUACGGCUCAACCGUAUUAAGCCGCCGAAACUGGAAGACUUGAGUGCAGGAGAGGAAAGUGGAAUUCUCAGUGUAGCGGUGAAAUGCGUAGAUAUUGAGAAGAACACCAGUAGCGAAGGCGGCUUUCUGGACUGUAACUGACACUGAGGCACGAAAGCGUGGGGAUC
rnacentral:rRNA from 1 species